UAAGAAAUCCUGCAUAUUGCCUUUUCUUGUAUUGCAUUACAAUGCAACUCAGCACCAGCAUGCUGUAUUUCAUGUACUAUGAUGAAGACCCCUUUGCCACUAUGUCACUGAUGUAAACAACUAAAAGCAUAUUAGACUUAAUGUUGAGAUAAUUGUCCAGGGAUGUCUCCAGAAAUUUACAACAGGAUGGGCAGAGUGUAAACUGUAAAGGACAAUGUAUUUUUAUCUCACUGUAAGAUUCAGCAACUGUUAUGCUUCUAUUGACACAUCCAUACUAAUUCAAAUCUAACAGGAACAAUGGACUAGAUUAGCUCUUGCUGUUCCCUGGCUCUUUGUCCAGGUUGGAGAUAGAAAAAGCUCCUAACAAAUUUAGAGACUAUGUGUACAUACUAGUAUGCACAAUUUACAAUAUACAAUUUACAAUGUACUCAUGUACAACACACGUUUCCUUCCAGUAUAUUCAUAAUGAACGUUACCAGCAAGAUGACUUAUUCUAUGUACAUGUAUCUUGUUCCUUCUCAGGAGUCUUGGUACGCCAGCCAUGUGGUCUGGGCUCAUCAGAUGUGAAGUCAACAUGGAUGUCAGUCUGGCCAGGUGAUCGGGGAUGGAGCUGGGUGGCUUUGUGAGGGAACUCAACAGGUUGAUGAACCGGAAUCAAAGAAGAGAAGUGAGGGCUGAAUCUACUGUUCCAAGUUCCUGCAGAUUCCUGAUUAUACAAGUGAUACUGAUUUGCUAGCUGCAGAAAGUGACCUUACUUUUCCAAAGUGCCCGUCUCCACACAGCUUAUCACCUGGGGAAAGAUCACACCAGCGGAGAGCCGGGACUUUGGCAACUCUCUAAGCAGAUGUUAGAUGGGAAGAUGGUCACAGUCAUGUAUUUUGUAACCUUUGCCUAGCUGCUAGAAAAUGGCACAAGUCUCGCACAGUAAUGUGUAUGAGAUGUCUUGUUUUUGUGCUAUAAUAGCUCUUGUUGAUUGUUUUGCAUGAUGAUAAAUUGUUCAGAAAGUUGACAUGAGGAUGCUCAACACUUUUGAAAGUGUUUUUCGUCAUGAAAAAGGGCUUAGGUUGAAAACAUUAUAGUAUUUUGAUAUCACCCACUAAAUUAGAAGUGAAUGGGAUGUUGCACAAUGAUAGCCAGGUGUUCUAAGUUCUGACCAAGGGGGGGCUACUGAAAGGUAGCUGGCAUCUCCAAGUGCCUCAGAACCCGAACACUAAGGUAUCAUGUUCAGCGCCUUAUUCUAAUAGAAGUUUUAAGUUCCAUCAAUAAUAUUUUGUCCAACGUUUUUGAAGAGACAUCAUCUUAGGCUUUUUAAUGUACGGAUUCAAAUGAAUAAGAUUGAUCUUGUUUGUUUUUCAAUGGUUCAGAAGAUUUGGGGUUGUUUUCAUGUUGUUUUUUGCUCAAAACAAAUGUUAUAUAUUACUUUGACCUAACAUGUUUAAAUGCUUGUCAAUAUUUACAUUUAAAAUCCGACAUCUGCUAAUUCCUUUCAUCUCAAUGCAUAGAACACGUGUUUGGAACUUGAACAGUGAUUUUGGAAGUUAAGUGCAACAUGUUUUAUGCAAUGAAGUAGCAUCAUCAGGGCUCGAAAUACUUUUUUCUGCAUGCCUGCACUGGUGCAGGUGAAAAUUACCUGCACCAGACAAAUUUUACCUGCACCACUCUGAAUUUAGGAAGUGUGGAUCAUACUAAAACUGUUGAGGAACCAUUGCUAUUUUUUCUUUUAUUGUGGUAACAGUCAAUGUAGCUAAUAACAAUCCACAUACACCUGCAUCAUUGGACAUUUCUGUAUAAAACACAGCACAAGGACCAGUGCGGGUUAGGUGCAGGUGGACACCAGAAAUUUAUAAAUGGUUUAUUCAAACAUACACAUAUACAUACAUGCAUGGACAUACUAAAACAACGUUGCAGCCUGUUAUACCAUGCUGUAAAACUGGCUGAAUUAUGUUAGUUUUAGUCUUUAAAAAAUUUAAUAUAUACACCAUAACAUAUUUAACAAUAAUUGAUGCACACCAAGGCUAACAUGAGCAGUAAUCAAGAUUCCAUGUAGUAGUCAUGUGACAUUAUAAACAGGCUAUAAAUCAGUAUUUAAGAGUGUGGACAAGUAUGAAAUAGCACUGUUUUUGUACCUAUCAAAUCUGGCAAAAGGUAUGCUAAGCUCGAGCCCUCGUUUUAGACCUCUGUUGUGAACUUCAUUACGUGUAGCUGGCGACCAGUUUCGAAAAGUGGGUGAAUUAAACAUGGAUUUCGAAAACUUAAGACAUAGAAAUUCUCUUCCUGCUUUUAAAGUGUUCAAAUGUAGCCUACAUACAGCUUCGGUAUAACAAGUAUAAUCGCUGCCCAGACUAAUUCUUAGCGCACGCUUUUGUAUGCGUUCUAAUGCAGCUGAUUGUUGACAUGUUGAACCUGGAUGCCAUACCGGGGCCGCAUAUUCCAUGAUAGGUCGGACAUAUAAUUGGUAAAUCUCACGGAGAUCUUCAGUGCAGACACCAAAGCGUUUUAGUUUUUUAAGCAAGAAAAGGCGACGACAGCUUCCUUUUUUUAUAAUGACGUUAUUAU